rnacentral:rRNA from 1 species
CGAAGGGGGCUAGCGUUGUUCGGAAUUACUGGGCGUAAAGCGCGCGCAGGCGGUCCUUUAAGUCAGGGGUGAAAGCCCAGAGCUCAACUCUGGAACUGCCUUUGAAACUAGAGGACUUGGGUACGGGAGAGGUGAGUGGAAUUCCGAGUGUAGAGGUGAAAUUACGUAGAUAUUCGGAAGAACACCAGUGGCGAAGGCGGCUCACUGGCCCGUUACCGACGCUCAGGCGCGACAGCGUGGGGAGCAAACAGGAUUAGAUACCCUGGUAGUCCACGCCGUAAACGAUGGAUGCUAGCCGUUGGUAAGCAUGCUUAUCAGUGGCGCAGCUAACGCAUUAAGCAUCCCGCCUGGGGAGUACGGCCGCAAGGUUG